rnacentral:rRNA from 1 species
UGGGGAAUUUUGGACAAUGGGCGAAAGCCUGAUCCAGCAAUGCCGCGUGUGAAGAAGGCCUUCGGGUUGUAAAGCACUUUUGUCCGGAAAGAAAUGGCUCUGGUUAAUACCUGGGGUCGAUGACGGUACCGGAAGAAUAAGGACCGGCUAACUACGUGCCAGCAGCCGCGGUAAUACGUAGGGUCCAAGCGUUAAUCGGAAUUACUGGGCGUAAAGCGUGCGCAGGCGGUUGUGCAAGACCGAUGUGAAAUCCCCGAGCUUAACUUGGGAAUUGCAUUGGUGACUGCACGGCUAGAGUGUGUCAGAGGGGGGUAGAAUUCCACGUGUAGCAGUGAAAUGCGUAGAGAUGUGGAGGAAUACCGAUGGCGAAGGCAGCCCCCUGGGAUAACACUGACGCUCAUGCACGAAAGCGUGGGGAGCAAACAGGAUUAGAUACCCUGGUAGUCCACGCCCUAAACGAUGUCAACUAGUUGUUGGGGAUUCAUUUCCUUAGUAACGUAGCUAACGCGUGAAGUCGACCGCCUGGGGAGUACGGUCGC